rnacentral:rRNA from 1 species
AGGGUUCGAUUCUGGCUCAGGACGAACGCUGGCGGCGUGCUUCAUACAUGCAAGUCGAACGAUAAGGCACCUUCGGGUGUACAUAAGUGGCGGACGGGUGAGUAAUAUGUAGAGAAUCUGCCCUAGAGAGUGGGACAACAGUUGGGAACGACUGCUAAUACCGCAUAUGAGCGUACCUGAAAUGGUAUUCUUGAAAACUCCGGUGCUCUGGGAUGAGUCUGCAUCUGAUUAGCUAGUUGGGGGUGUAAUGGACCACCAAGGCGACGAUCAGUAGCUGGUUUGAGAGGAUGAUCAGCCACAAUGGGACUGAGACACGGCCCAUACUCCUACGGGAGGCAGCAGUAGGGAAUUUUGCGCAAUGGGGGAAACCCUGACGCCAGCAACGCCGCGUGACCGAUGAAGCCCUUCGGGGUGUAAAGGUCUGUCAGUGGGGACGAAUAUUGACGGUACCCACAGAGGAAGCAUCGGCUAACUCCGUGCCAGCCGCCGC